GGCAAAGUAUAUAACUGGAAUCGGGAUACUUGUACAGUAUUUAAGAGCGGUGCCUUUUACAAUAUAUGUAUUCCAGCUGAAGCUAAACUUGUGCAGAGGGCAUUUAUGGGAGUGUCUCCCGACAUUAUUAACUUGGAUACCUAUAUGAUGACGCAGAAUGAAUACACGUUAUUCUAAGAGUUGGAUUGAAUUGUACCUUUGUUGAGAUUGGUGGAUGUUCGUCCAAUAUUCCUCAACCUUGUACAACUUUCCUUCAAUGACAUAAAACAAUAGUUGUUUCAAAUUUAACCUACAAUUCACCACAUUCUACAUUUCUUUUUUUCUUUACAGAUGGACAGCUUUUAUUUCUCCAUUACAAUACGACAAUGGGAAUCAAGGAUCCGUCUAUCUUUAUACCACCAAAAAUGUGCUUCAAAAAUGUCACAAAAAUCGACAGAAAACCUCGUUUCCAACCAAAUCACAUCUUUAAUUUUCUUGGAGGUCUAAAUCCUUUUUUCCCUUAAAAUUUUUAUAAAUCUAGUUAAUCUAAAACCAUAUACACUUGAUCAAUCAUAGCACAAUCAAU